GACGAACGCUGGCGGCGUGCUUAACACAUGCAAGUCGAACGGAAAGGCCUCUUUCGGGGGGUACUCGAGUGGCGAACGGGUGAGUAACACGUGAGUUACCUGCCCUUGACUUUGGGAUAACUUCAGGAAACUGGGGCUAAUACCGGAUAGGAGCUCCUGCUGCAUGGUGGGGGUUGGAAAGUUUCGGCGGUUGGGGAUGGACUCGCGGCUUAUCAGCUUGUUGGUGGGGUAGUGGCUUACCAAGGCUUUGACGGGUAGCCGGCCUGAGAGGGUGACCGGCCACAUUGGGACUGAGAUACGGCCCAGACUCCUACGGGAGGCAGCAGUGGGGAAUAUUGCACAAUGGGUGGAAGCCUGAUGCAGCAACGCCGUGUGCGGGAUGACGGCCUUCGGGUUGUAAACCGCUUUCGCUCAUGACGAAGCUUUGUGUGACGGUAGUGGGUAAAGAAGCACCGGCUAACUACGUG
rnacentral:rRNA from 1 species